rnacentral:rRNA from 1 species
GAAUCAAAGAAGGUAAUAAUCCUGUAGUCGAAAAUGUUGUCUCUCUUGAGUGGAUCCUGAGUACGACGGAGCACGUGAAAUUCCGUCGGAAUCUGGGAGGACCAUCUCCUAAGGCUAAAUACUCUCUAGUGACCGAUAGUGAACCAGUACCGUGAGGGAAAGGUGAAAAGCACCCCGGAAGGGGAGUGAAAUAGAACCUGAAACCGUGUGCUUACAAGUAGUCAGAGCCCGUUAAUGGGUGAUGGCGUGCCUUUUGUAGAAUGAACCGGCGAGUUACGAUUUGAUGCAAGGUUAAGCAGUAAAUGUGGAGCCGUAGCGAAAGCGAGUCUGAAUAGGGCGUUUAGUAUUUGGUCGUAGACCCGAAACCAGGUGAUCUACCCUUGGUCAGGUUGAAGUUCAGGUAACACUGAAUGGAGGACCGAACCGACUUACGUUGAAAAGUGAGCGGAUGAACUGAGGGUAGCGGAGAAAUUCCAAUCGAACCUGGAGAUAGCUGGUUCUCUCCGAAAUAGCUUUAGGGCUAGCCUCAAGUGAUGAUUAUUGGAGGUAGAGCACUGUUUGGACGAGGGGCCCCUCUCGGGUUACCGAAUUCAGACAAACUCCGAAUGCCAAUUAAUUUAACUUGGGAGUCAGAACAUGGGUGAUAAGGUCCGUGUUCGAAAGGGAAACAGCCCAGACCACCAGCUAAGGUCCCAAAAUAUAUGUUAAGUGGAAAAGGAUGUGGCGUUGCCCAGACAACUAGGAUGUUGGCUUAGAAGCAGCCAUCAUUUAAAGAGUGCGUAAUAGCUCACUAGUCGAGUGACACUGCGCCGAAAAUGUACCGGGGCUAAACAUAUUACCGAAGCUGUGGAUUGUCCUUUGGACAAUGGUAGGAGAGCGUUCUAAGGGCGUUGAAGCAUGAUCGUAAGGACAUGUGGAGCGCUUAGAAGUGAGAAUGCCGGUGUGAGUAGCGAAAGACGGGUGAGAAUCCCGUCCACCGAUUGACUAAGGUUUCCAGAGGAAGGCUCGUCCGCUCUGGGUUAGUCGGGUCCUAAGCUGAGGCCGACAGGCGUAGGCGAUGGAUAACAGGUUGAUAUUCCUGUACCACCUAUAAUCGUUUUA